ACAAAUUCGUUGACGAAGACGAGUACAAACGAGUCUGGUUGUACGGCGGUGCGAUGAUUCGUCAUUGGCACGCGAUUAGAGAGAUGUUGCCGUGGCUGCAAGCAACAUCCAACCUCCGUUUGGAAGGACAGCUUCAGAGAACCGAAAUCAACGGGCGGGUGUGGAAAUGACUGUGGCCCUAAAGUUUCGGCGUGGGUGCGCGUUAAGCCAAUUGAGAGGAACACAAAUCUGUUCAAACAGGGUGGCACCGCGGAAGCGCUCUUUCGUCCCUGUC
rnacentral:ncRNA from 1 species